UACGUAGGGGGCAAGCGUUGUCCGGAAUCAUUGGGCGUAAAGAGCGUGUAGGCGGCCAGAAAAGUCCGCUGUGAAAACUCGAGGCUCAACUUCGAGCUGUCGGUGGAAACUUUCUGGCUAGAGUCCGGAAGAGGAGAAUGGAAUUCCUGGUGUAGCGGUGAAAUGCGCAGAUAUCAGGAAGAACACCCGUGGCGAAGGCGGCUCUCUGGGACGGUACUGACGCUGAGACGCGAAAGCGUGGGGAGCGAACAGG
rnacentral:rRNA from 1 species